CUAGGAAAGUCUUUAAUUACCGAUUGCAACAAUGUUGCAAUCGGUUAAUGAGUGCCACACGUCCCUCUAUGUGUGGGCUAUUAGGGGGUAGCUCAUUCGGUUCAUGAACAGCCAGUAAAGUCGCUGUUCGUAAAACAAAAUACAUGAAUGCUAGCGGCUUUCGGCUGCUAGCAUACAAAUUCUAUGCACAUAACAGUCUAGACCAAGGUUACACAUAUAUUCCAGCGGUUAUUACAGA